AUUGAACGCUGGCGGCAUGCCUUACACAUGCAAGUCGAACGGCAGCACGGGUGCUUGCACCUGGUGGCGAGUGGCGCACGGGUGAGUAAUACAUCGGAACAUGUCCUGUAGUGGGGGAUAGCCCGGCGAAAGCCGGAUUAAUACCGCAUACGAUCUACGGAUGACAGCGGGGUCCCUUCGGGCCUCGCGCUAUAGGGUUGGCCGAUGGCUGAUUAGCUAGUUGGUGGGGUAAAGGCCUACCAAGGCGACGAUCAGUAGCUGGUCUGAGAGGACGACCAGCCACACUGGGACUGAGACACGGCCCAGACUCCUACGGGAGGCAGCAGUGGGGAAUUUUGGACAAUGGGCGAAAGCCUGAUCCAGCAAUGCCGCGUGUGUGAAGAAGGCCUUCGGGUUGUAAAGCACUUUUGUCCGGAAAGAAAUCCUGGGCCCUAAUACGGUCAGGGGAUGACGGUACCGGAAGAAUAAGCACCGGCUAACUACGUG
rnacentral:rRNA from 1 species